rnacentral:sRNA from 1 species
CUUCCUCGAUCUGCUGCGGGCAGAUGAAGUGAAUAUGGCUGUCCAUGCCACCGGCGGUGACGAUCUUCCCCUCACCCGCAAUCGCCUCCGUGCCGGGUCCGACGAUGAUAUUGACAUUGGGCUGCAUAUCCGGAUUUCCGGCCUUGCCGAUUGCGACAAUGCGGCCGUCCCUCAGGCCGAUAUCCGCCUUGACGAUUCCCCAAUGAUCAAGGAUGAGCGCAUUCGUAAUGACUGUAUCGACGGCGCCGCCGGCGCGCGUCACCUGGCUCUGUCCCAUGCCGUCACGGAUG